GUCUACAGCCAUGCCACUCUGAACAAGCCCAAUGUCUGAUUUCGGAAGCAGGGUCAGGCCUAGUUAGUACUUAGAUGGGAAAGCAGGGUCAGGCCUGGUUAGUACUUAGAUGGGAAACCACCUAGGAAGAGCAGGUGCUGUAGGUA
rnacentral:rRNA from 1 species